rnacentral:rRNA from 1 species
UACGUAGGGUGCGAGCGUUGUCCGGAAUUAUUGGGCGUAAAGGGCUCGUAGGCGGCCACCGCAAGUCAGUUGUGAAAUCUCUGGGCUUAACCCAGAAAGGUCAACUGAUACUGCGGGGCUAGAGUGCAGAAGGGGCAACUGGAAUUCUCGGUGUAGCGGUGAAAUGCGUAGAUAUCGAGAGGAACACCUGCGGCGAAGGCGGGUGCUGGGCUGACACUGACGCUGAACUGCGAAAGCUAGGGGAGCGAACGGG